CACGUAGGGGGCGAGCGUUGUCCGGAUUCAUUGGGCGUAAAGGGCGCGCAGGCGGCCCGGCAAGUCGGAUGUGAAAACUCGGGGCUCAACCCCGAGCGUGCACCCGAUACUGCCGGGCUUGAGGCAGGUAGGGGAGAUCGGAAUUCCUGGUGUAGCGGUGAAAUGCGCAGAUAUCAGGAGGAACACCGGUGGCGAAGGCGGAUCUCUGGGCCUGUCCUGACGCUGAGGCGCGAAAGCUAGGGGAGCGAACAGG
rnacentral:rRNA from 1 species